CUUGACACCAGUGGUGAUAAUAACCUUCCUAAUACAUUCAACUUGGCGUACAAGAGUAUUCAUAUGCAUGAUGUAACUGUAGGAUCAUAUAUCCUUGUUGGUGCUGGUGAGAUUGUUGAUAUUGGCAAAACUCUGCCAUUGUUCAUGGAGCUUCAAACCUUAGGUGACAGGAUGUGAAGAACCAUGCUCUGCAAAGUGUCUUAUUUUCAAUGUU